AGGGGGGCCCCGAGGCAACAAGUACUGCUAAUACUUGGACUCACGGUUAAACUCCGUGGCUUCCUCG
rnacentral:tRNA from 1 species